ACGACGAUGACGAAGACGAUGAGGACUUCGGAGGUGAAGGAGAAGUUGGAAAUGAGUAUUCAAAGCCAAGUAGAAGCGAGA